rnacentral:lncRNA from 1 species
GUGUCUUAACUACGCAGUGCGUUCCCUGGUGACACAUUUAUACAUCCGGGUGAUAUACUAGCUGACGGCUUUCUAUUUAAUUGCAUGCGGUUCAUUAGAGAUUGUGACAGAAAAGAAAAUGUUACAGUGAUAUGUGAUGCUGAAGUGUUUCUUCGUUUGACACCAUCUCGACAAAGUGGGCGAUCUACCUGCUAGCACGGGACCGCAGAUAGGAGAAGAUGAGCCGACAUCUAUGACAUUCUAAAUUGCUCUGCAGCAAGCUUCUGGUGACACAAAUACAGCGUCCAAAGACAGAUAAGUGAAAAGAUGGUUAGAUACUGCAGCCACGAGAAUCAAUGAAGCUUAGGUUGCCAACGCUACAGAUAGUGGACCCAGCAUAAAGACGUAUUACAUCACAGCGUUAUAUUUUAC